GGUGGAAUUCUUCCCAGCUCCGACGGAAUGGCGCUCGUGGUUAGUUCGGCCGUCUUGUAUCACGCGAGCGUUUGUAUACCCGUGCGACUCAAGGCGGCGGAACUAGUCACGAGCGCCCUUCCAUCGGAGCUAGGUAGAAUCUCACCA
rfam:Ectocarpus siliculosus strain Ec 32, whole genome shotgun sequence assembly, chromosome LG04